UACGUAGGGUGCGAGCGUUAAUCGGAAUUACUGGGCGUAAAGCGCACGCAGGUGGCUGAGUCAGUCGAUUGUGAAAGCCCUGGGCUCAACCUGGGAAUUGCAGUCGAUACUACUCAGCUAGAGUAUGGGAGAGGGCAGUGGAAUUCCCGGUGUAGCGGUGAAAUGCGUAGAUAUCGGGAGGAACAUCAGUGGCGAAGGCGGCUGCCUGGCCCAAUACUGACACUCAGGUGCGACAGCGUGGGGAGCAAACAGG
rnacentral:rRNA from 1 species